GAAGAAUCUCCUAACACACGAGAUUAGUGAGAAGAUAUAGGCUAACAAAAAGUUCUGGUAGAAUUCAAGAAGCAUGUUUUCAAAUAGGUACACUAUUGCACAGCAGACGUUGCUGGUUGUUUUGCCAAUCCAGUCUUCUUUUCUUGUAGGGAAACCGGGAAAUAUGUUGAAGAGAGGGAUCUUUUCUUUCUCUUGCCGGACAGGUGGUGAAUAAAGAUAACUGAGGUGUGGAACCUGCAACAAAGGAAAGUAUCACAUCUCCCUUUCCUGACAGUCGACAUAGCAUUUGAGUAUUUCUAUUGAAGAAGAACAAGAAGAACGUUCCUAAUAUUGGUGUUGUCAGCCCUACUUCGUUGUCUAAUCCACUGGAAUUGACUGAGGAGAGAUUUGGGAGUGACACACAAGAUACAACCCUGUCUCAACUACUCUCAAGAGUCCUCGUAAAUCUACGUCAGCGGGUUCUUAUUUUGGCUCCAAGGAGAAUGAAGAAAUCUAUGUCCACAAUAAAUGAUUCUGUAAAAACUUAGAUCGAAUGACUAUCAAAUUUUCCUUA